AAAAAAGCAGGGACUCAUUGCCUCUGUGAAUGGGUCUUUCGUAAACUUCAGGGAAAGUACCUAACAUUGUUAUUGGGUGAACCUCUGAACUUUUUUUUAGUGGCAGCAAGGUUCAGUAAAUGAUGUCACAUUU